rnacentral:rRNA from 1 species
GGGUUGUGAGGUUAAGCGACUAAGCGUACACGGUGGAUGCCCUGGCAGUCAGAGGCGAUGAAGGACGUGCUAAUCUGCGAUAAGCGUCGGUAAGGUGAUAUGAACCGUUAUAACCGGCGAUUUCCGAAUGGGGAAACCCAGUGUGUUUCGACACACUAUCAUUAACUGAAUCCAUAGGUUAAUGAGGCGAACCGGGGGAACUGAAACAUCUAAGUACCCCGAGGAAAAGAAAUCAACCGAGAUUCCCCCAGUAGCGGCGAGCGAACGGGGAGCAGCCCAGAGCCUGAAUCAGUGUGUGUGUUAGUGGAAGCGUCUGGAAAGGCGCGCGAUACAGGGUGACAGCCCCGUACACAAAAAUGCACAUGCUGUGAGCUCGAUGAGUAGGGCGGGACACGUGGUAUCCUGUCUGAAUAUGGGGGGACCAUCCUCCAAGGCUAAAUACUCCUGACUGACCGAUAGUGAACCAGUACCGUGAGGGAAAGGCGAAAAGAACCCCGGCGAGGGGAGUGAAAAAGAACCUGAAACCGUGUACGUACAAGCAGUGGGAGCACGCUUAGGCGUGUGACUGCGUACCUUUUGUAUAAUGGGUCAGCGACUUAUAUUCUGUAGCAAGGUUAACCGAAUAGGGGAGCCGAAGGGAAACCGAGUCUUAACUGGGCGUUAAGUUGCAGGGUAUAGACCCGAAACCCGGUGAUCUAGCCAUGGGCAGGUUGAAGGUUGGGUAACACUAACUGGAGGACCGAACCGACUAAUGUUGAAAAAUUAGCGGAUGACUUGUGGCUGGGGGUGAAAGGCCAAUCAAACCGGGAGAUAGCUGGUUCUCCCCGAAAGCUAUUUAGGUAGCGCCUCGUGAAUUCAUCUCCGGGGGUAGAGCACUGUUUCGGCAAGGGGGUCAUCCCGACUUACCAACCCGAUGCAAACUGCGAAUACCGGAGAAUGUUAUCACGGGAGACACACGGCGGGUGCUAACGUCCGUCGUGAAGAGGGAAACAACCCAGACCGCCAGCUAAGGUCCCAAAGUCAUGGUUAAGUGGGAAACGAUGUGGGAAGGCCCAGACAGCCAGGAUGUUGGCUUAGAAGCAGCCAUCAUUUAAAGAAAGCGUAAUAGCUCACUGGUCGAGUCGGCCUGCGCGGAAGAUGUAACGGGGCUAAACCAUGCACCGAAGCUGCGGCAGCGACGCUGAUGCGUUGUUGGGUAGGGGAGCGUUCUGUAAGCCUGCGAAGGUGUGCUGUGAGGCAUGCUGGAGGUAUCAGAAGUGCGAAUGCUGACAUAAGUAACGAUAAAGCGGGUGAAAAGCCCGCUCGCCGGAAGACCAAGGGUUCCUGUCCAACGUUAAUCGGGGCAGGGUGAGUCGACCCCUAAGGCGAGGCCGAAAGGCGUAGUCGAUGGGAAACAGGUUAAUAUUCCUGUACUUGGUGUUACUGCGAAGGGGGGACGGAGAAGGCUAUGUUGGCCGGGCGACGGUUGUCCCGGUUUAAGCGUGUAGGCUGGUUUUCCAGGCAAAUCCGGAAAAUCAAGGCUGAGGCGUGAUGACGAGGCACUACGGUGCUGAAGCAACAAAUGCCCUGCUUCCAGGAAAAGCCUCUAAGCAUCAGGUAACAUCAAAUCGUACCCCAAACCGACACAGGUGGUCAGGUAGAGAAUACCAAGGCGCUUGAGAGAACUCGGGUGAAGGAACUAGGCAAAAUGGUGCCGUAACUUCGGGAGAAGGCACGCUGAUAUGUAGGUGAGGUCCCUCGCGGAUGGAGCUGAAAUCAGUCGAAGAUACCAGCUGGCUGCAACUGUUUAUUAAAAACACAGCACUGUGCAAACACGAAAGUGGACGUAUACGGUGUGACGCCUGCCCGGUGCCGGAAGGUUAAUUGAUGGGGUUAGCGCAAGCGAAGCUCUUGAUCGAAGCCCCGGUAAACGGCGGCCGUAACUAUAACGGUCCUAAGGUAGCGAAAUUCCUUGUCGGGUAAGUUCCGACCUGCACGAAUGGCGUAAUGAUGGCCAGGCUGUCUCCACCCGAGACUCAGUGAAAUUGAACUCGCUGUGAAGAUGCAGUGUACCCGCGGCAAGACGGAAAGACCCCGUGAACCUUUACUAUAGCUUGACACUGAACAUUGAGCCUUGAUGUGUAGGAUAGGUGGGAGGCUU